GCUGGCGGCGCGCCUAACACAUGCAAGUCGAGCGAGAACCAGGGCUUCGGCCCUGGGGACAGCGGCGAACGGGUGAGUAACACGUGGAUAACCUGCCCUCGGCACCGGAAUAGCCCGGGGAAACCCGGAUUAAUGCCGGAUAGCCCCAUAUCCCUGCGGGGAACGUGGGAAAAGGUAGCUUCGGCCUCUGGCCGAGGAUGGGUCCGCGGUGGAUUAGCUUGUUGGCGGGGUAACGGCCCACCAAGGCGACGAUCCAUAGCUGUCUGAGAGGACGAUCAGCCACACUGGGACUGAGACACGGCCCAGACUCCUACGGGAGGCAGCAGUGGGGAAUCUUGCGCAAUGGGCGAAAGCCUGACGCAGCGACGCCGCGUGCGGGAAGAAGGCCUUCGGGUUGUAAACCGCUUUCAGGAGGGACGAAGCCACUCGGGUUAAUAGCCCAGAGGGUGACGGUACCUCCAGAAGAAGCCCCGGCUAACUACGUGCCAGCAGCCGCGGUAAUACGUAGGGGGCAAGCGUUGUCCGGAUUCAUUGGGCGUAAAGAGCGUGUAGGCGGCCAGGUAGGUCGGUUGUGAAAACUGGAGGCUCAACCUUCAGAGG
rnacentral:rRNA from 1 species